GGGUGCUUUAUUGGAGGUUUCUGCAUACCUGAAUCCUUCUGAAGGUCCUCAGGUGCUCAAGUGAGAGAAACGUGUGCUUAUCAUGUGCAGUAUUAUCUCCUGUGCUCUCUAAAUACCUCUUUGGUGACAAAAGUUCAUUGCGAGGGACCUCUGGAGAUCGUCUGUUUUAACUUCCCAUGUGAAGUGAAACUGCUGCUGGUGCUGGACCAGGUCAGCCAUGGCUUUUUCUGGGUGAGCUGUGAAAACCCUGGAGGAUGGAGAUUGUCUCUCUGGAGGAACAGCAGUGUGAACUCUCAAGUUACAGUGCCCUCCCACUGAAAGAGGUUUUCCAUGGGUCUAGUCCAAACCCCUCCAACCAGAAUUUGUGUCCGUUGCCCCCUUGCUAUAUUUUUCUGUCCUUUCUGAGGAAAGUUUGAGUCUGUCAUCCUUGUGGCUCCCAUUCAAGAGCAAUAGGCUGCUAAUAGAUUACUGCUUAGCUCUUCCUUGCCCAACUGAACUAGCUCAGCUCCCUCAACUGCUUCUCACUGCUCACUGAUGGCACCUCCUCAAUGCUCCUGUCUUAGAAGGACCCUCUCCAGUUUAUGGACAUUCCCUUCAAACUGCAGGCUCCAAACUUGGACACAGACUUCAGAUAUGCCCUGGCCAUCACUCUUUUCACAGCUGACUUAGGAAAAUAGAUUCUAUUUAAUAUCAUUGGCUACUGAGAUCUUAAAGUGGGUUUCUUAAAUUAGGACCUUGAACUAUAAAGAUCUGUGGCUCUUAGAGGAUGGUAGUGGGAUACGCAACUUUUGGCGCAGUUGUGGCCAUGAUUCCAAAUGUUGUGGGGGCUGAUUAGAGGUUUCAGGAGGAUCAUUCCAGUAGGAGCUUUUAUCUGGUAGCAUGAAUAUGCUGUGUCCACUCCUCUUCCAGAUUAAAAAGAGAAGGUAACCAAGUUAUGUUUGCAGACCAACACAUCAUUACUUGAGCACACUACAAAUUAAUGUAAAGAGAAAUACAGCCUUUUACUUGGUUGCUUCCUCUAAUAAGCUCCUUGCUGGGGAGUGGAAAUAGCCAAUGUUCUGGGAUUUUUUUUUUUUUGGGGGGGGGGGGGUAAUGCUUUUAACACUUCUUUCAAGAACUAAAUUUAAUCAGAUGGCAAUAUGCAUGUAUUUCUAUCUGUGAAAUCUACCUAGAAAUAUGGAAUCUGUUCUGGGAGGGAGUCUAAAUGUUGAAAGUACAGGAACACUGUGCUCAGUGAUAAAGAAAACCUUACUUAUCUCCUCUUCAAAAUUAGAAGUCCUUGUUAAUAUUCCAGACCCGGUUUAUGGAACUGCUGGCAGUAGCUGCAGAUCUAUUUGAAUCAAAAUGAAAGCUGAUGGAAGAAAUCAAAAAUGCAGUGCAGCAGCUCAGUGUUGAUGCAUACCAGGGAUGGUAAAGACCACAUCAAGGAGUGGGCAGGUAGGAAAAUGGCACCUAUGCAGAUUGAGAUGUACUACAAAACAUGUCUUGAAAUAUGAUGAAACUUAAAAAAAAACUGCAUUCACUGAAAAACAGCGAGCUCAGAAGUUAGGAUAAUGCUUAGCUCUGCUCUUGUCUCAGCCAAGGAUAAAUAGAUGUGGUAUUUAAUACGAAGAAUCUUUCUGUUCCUCUUUCUUCUUUCUUGUUCUCACCUCCCUCAAUGACAAAGUCACAGUUGCAUUCUACACAGCAUCUGGGCUCAUCUCCUGGGAGACCUGUGUCACUGUAUCUAGAACAUAUGGCCACUUUGCCUUUUCUCCAACCAGAGUUUCACCUGCAGCUUUCUCUCUUAAUUCUAUUCCUUGUCUUCCUUCUAUUCUUCUUUUUUCCUCCACCUAAAUACUAUCUAUCAGUUUCUUUCUCCUUUGCAGUUUAGAAUUGAUUUCUCAGUAUUGAUAAGUUUUACUUUUUUAAUCAGGAGUACAUGUGUGCAGGAAUACAUACAUAACCUACUCCUGUGUGCAGAGUAGACAAAGACUUCUUAGGAUGUACAGGGUUGUCAAGCAAUGAGCUGUAUGUAUUUUAAAACAUUAGAAUUAAAGGAGAACAAUUGGUAAGGAAUAGGAUAAUUCAGGCUGAUGUUUGUAACUUCGUACCGAUGUGAUGGCAAGGAGACACAAGCUUGCUCAUUAAAUGAAUGAGUUUUUAAGCAAAAAAAAACCUGAUACCCUUCCUGUUCUUUAAGUGAUUUGUUUCAGUCUCACUUCCUGUUACUCUUCUACCUUUACUUCAGAACCAUAUCCCUUUAGAAAGUCUGAGAAGAGUCUCUGUUAAGACAGAUGAUUUUUUCUUCAUCUUUCUUAUGUUUUUGCUUCCCUUUCUCUUGUAUCUCUCAGAUUUUGUUUUUUCUGCCCCUGCACUACUACUGCUUUUCCCCUUCACAUUCUCAUCUUUUAUACACACCGCACUUUCUCCUUCCCCAGGGGGGAACACAAUCUUGGAGCUGAUGUAAUUCUAAAGUAAGAUUCCUCCUGGAGCAUCCAAAUGAUAGGCAUAAGUAGAAGCAGAUGAUUUUCUGGAGGUAAGGUUGCUAGGAUAAACUACAUCUUAAAAACCUUAUGAUGAAAUAAACUAGCUUUUUUUUGUAUUGGCCCAUGAAACAAGAGAAAAUUCAGAACAAUCAGUUCAGUAAGAUGUAACUGAAAUUAGCAUCAGUGCUUUCAAUCUUAACUACUGUUGAGUUAGUUCAUAAAAGCAAUUUCUUGUAAGAUAAACCAGAUUAUGAAUGUCUGUUAGCUCAUGGGUGUCGAAACUUCUUGCUUUCCUGAUCCACAUUGAAUGGAGAGGAAUUGUCUUGGGCUGCAUAAGUUGCUCUGAAAGUAAUGCCUCCUAAUUAUUUCCACGGAAACUACAACCAGUUCAAAGAGCACAAUAAGAUUAUUUGAUAGAGCAAAUUCUCAGCUACAGAACACUUUUUUUCAAGGCAAUCACCACCAUUAACCAUGCGUUUUCACCAGCAAUGAACAACAGCCUGCAUGCCAUGCUCAUAAGAAUCUGCACCAGCUGUGGCAACUCACUGUUGCCACUGCUGAAACACAACACCACCACCUCACUGUGCUCACAUCCAGUAUUUGGUCUCCAUACACACUCAGCAAGCAUCCAUGAAUGUCAGUGGGGGCUGUUAGAGGAAAUCGACAACACACUUUUUGUUUCAUCCGCAUUUCCAUUUCAGAAUCACAGAAUAACAAAGCUGGAAAGGACCUACAAGAUCAUCUAGUUCAACUGUCCUCCUAUAACCAUUACUACCCACUAAGCUACCAUUAUCUUGUCUUGUCCUGCUUGUUUUAGGUUUGUUAAAUGUUCAAGUACAUAUACUGUUGAAAAGAUGAGGACAUAAGAGUCCAACUUGAUUUCAUACACUUUACGAGGUCCGCAGUGUUUCAGCUUCUCAUCUGGGGGGACUUAAAAUGUCUUCUUUCUUUAGUCUUCCUGCAGAUUAAAAUGUUUUGCUGUAGGACAUUGCACACUUUUCACGGAAUAUUUGUACUGAGGUCCUCAGCCCAAUGCUCUCUCACACAGUGCUGAGCAGCAUUGUCUUACUAAAAAAUAAAAAUUAAAAACAUCUAGAAAUCUUCACUAUAAAAUCAUUCCAUUAUAUUAAUUUCCAUUAGAAUCCAUGGUAAAAUAAAGCUAUUGUCAAAUGAUGUCAUAUCUUUGAGAAGUAAAAAAAGCUGAAUAGGUGUUUUUCUAGGAGCUAAUAUUAUUCAUGUAAGAAAAUAUAUAAUUAUUUGCUCACAGACAUAUUCAAGUGCUAGUUUGUUUUUUCCACGGUGAGCAGUGUCAGGUGGUUAUGUGUCAUGGAUUUUUUCAGGAGAUCUGGCAGCUGACACGGUGUCCUGUCUCCAGUUGCUUGCCUGCGUCCCUGUGCUACUCCAUCUGUUGUCCUUGUUGGGAAACCAAACAAGCUAAGAAACUGCUUUUAUGUUGUUGUUGCUAGGCUAUUUUUUAGCCCUAUCAGUUUCACAGCCUGAUGCACUGUGUGACUACCCAAAUAGCCAUGCCAUAACAAGGGAGAGGGUAGUGCAGAGACAGGAGUGAGCAGUCAGGACUGGGAAGGGCAGGGACUGCCUCGACAGUGCUGCAGUACCAUCUCUGAAAACCUCAUUUUUCUCCUUUUCUCCCCCAGAACUACAUGCUGCAUGUUAAAUAUAACAUAGCACUGGGUUCUGUGUUACGUAUUUCAUACAACAUUGUAUAGGUAGGAGCCACUUCAAAAAACCUUUGAACUGCAGAAUGGAGCACUUCUUCACCUAUGGUAACCUUAAUUCUGCUCCCCUUUUUAUUACAAUAGCAUUAUUAGAAUAGUGUCCUACUGCUAUAAUGGUAGCAUUAGAGAUUUAUGUAGUACAUGAAAAUACUCUGUAACUACUAUACAAUGCUGUACAAUAUGAUAACAUAGAAUAUAUACAUAGUAUACUUACAUAACGUUAGAAAACUAAAAAGUUUGAACCAGCAUUGCAUUAUCUGGGCCAUGUAGCCUGCCUGUGACUUAUAAGCAUAGGUGACUCCCAGUUAUUUUCUUUUCUUGAGGCAUCACUUAUGACAAAGAAAUGUGCACUCGUGUGAUGCAAGAUGGGGUUCAAGAAAAUGAAUCUUGAAAGUGAGCAGCUUCUGCCUUCUGCUAUGAGUUACAGGUCUAAGGAGCCUGAGCAAGAAUAUGUCAGUGGUAUAAUCCUUAAUGAUCCUAACCACCUCCUUCCUAGUACUUUUUUCAAAUGUGGACAAAAAGCCAGAACUUAAAUAAUAAAUCCCACCUACAUGCAGACAGAUCAGUUAUCCGUGUGCCUAGAGCAGGUCCAGUUAUAAGACACAAAGAAGGCCAUACACACGGCUCACCUUUGCAAAGACAGGUGUGUAACCAGCAAGGUCACCAGUACUUGAAAUACCAAAAUGAGCCUUGGAGUACCUGAGGUAGCAGACAGUUCUUUAUGUUAAUCUAGAUGUGGCUAUUGCAAUUCAAAAAAAAAAUGCAGGAAGUAUACAGUUUGCCUGGUUUCCCACUGAGGGACAAGUUGGUCAGUAUCUCUACAAAAUAAAGUCACUCACCAGAGUAUAUCACUGAUAUAUCACUAGAAUACAUCCCUUUGUUUUUGCAAGAAGGAGCAGCUGUAGCAGCACCCUCUUCUUUCUCUCUAGAAACAGACUUGCUCAUGAGAGAGAAGGAUAUCUUUGCAGAGCAAGCAAUGUAAUAUAAUAGCGUGUUAAAAAAGAAAGAAAAAGAAAGUAAGUUUAGCUAAUGUCUGCUUUUUGUUCCUUUAGGAUUCUUAUAUUGGCUUUCUGAUUGUUAUUCUAAGCUGUGGAUAGAAGAACAACACACACUAACAAACAACCUCACUUUGCAGAGCUGGGGCAUUACAGAAUUAAGCUGUCAGGAGGAAGGUUACAGUCCAUUUUGACACAGCUGCAGAAGUUAAAAUUCACUCUCGAUGUUUUCAUUCACUGCUGAGGAUUUUUUCUGCAAGUGGGCAUUUAAUACAGUUGAGAGAAAAAGACUUGAUUGCAAGGGAGAAGAGUAAGGAAGAUCAUUAGUUAAAAAAUUUGGCCCAGCUGGGGAAGAGACAAUAAUUAAUGUUUAUGGUUUGUUAUGGACUAUUUAUAGGAUAUGAUGGAUUUUUAUUCUGUGUAGUUUUCUACUGCUUUGUACUUUGUUAUGCAGUUUGGAACUUAUUGUGAAGAUAAGGACCAGCAUUUACUAUUUUGUAUAUUAGUAGUUCACGAGGUAGGGGUUAUUAGAUCAACUCUUUUGCAGUUCAGUAGCUUUUUUUGUAAUGUUAGCUUAUUGAAAGUGUGUGUGUUCUAUGUAGAUGGGCAGAAACUAAGCAAAUGAACUUCCUAAUACUUAAACAAAUACUCAAAGCAAAGAUGUAACGCUGGUAGAUCUAGCAAGCCUAACCUCAGGCAUGAAUAUGAAUGUUUUACAGGUUCUAUUAAAGAGAGGACUUCCCACUAAAAAAAGAAGUCUUAGGGAGCUAAUGCCAUAAUGAAUGUACCAAAUAAGAGAUUGUGCUAAAUAAAAAAUGAAUGAAAAUAUA